rnacentral:tRNA from 1 species
GGUGGUAUAGCUCAGGGGUAGAUUGUGUGCUUAGCAUGCACAAGGCCCUGGGUUCAAUCCUCAGUACCUCCA